CCUACGGGGGGCAGCAGUGGGGGAUAUUGGACAAUGGGGGGAACCCUGAUCCAGCGACGCCGCGUGAGUGAAGAGGUAUUUCGGUAUGUAAAGCUCUAUCAGCAGGAACGAGACAAGACGGUACCUGACUAAGAAGCCCCGGCUAACUACGUGCCAGCAGCCGCGGUAAUACGUAGGGGGCAAGCGUUAUCCGGAAUCACUGGGUGUAAAGGGAGCGUAGACGGCUGAGCAAGCCUGAAGUGAAAGGCGGGGGCCCAACCCCUGGACUGCUUUGGGAACUGUCCGGCUGGAGUGCAGGAGAGGUA
rnacentral:rRNA from 1 species